rnacentral:lncRNA from 1 species
CCACGGCUCGAGCUGGCUCGAGGCGGCCGUAGGGAGCUAGGGCAGCGGCGGUAACCUGUGAGGACCGAGGCGACUGCACGCAGGAGUCGCUGGAGGUCAGAGGGAAGCGGCGCGGCCGGAUUCCAUGCGGCGGCAGCUCACGGCCACGAGCUAACCCGAGCUCGGCCCUAGCUGACUGAGCUCGGCCACGCGGUGCCUAGAUGGCGAGGGCGGCGCGCGCAGGGAUGGCGACGACUUGCGGGGGAGGUCACCGAGGGCCAGGGGACGACAGCCAUGGUGGUCCCAAGCGAUGACGGCGUGCGGGCCAGAAGAAGAAGCAGCAUCUGCUCGAGCAUGCUUAGCUUGGCGGCCUCUGCCUGGGCGGCAGCGGCAGUGCGCGGGGGCAACGGCGACCGGUGGCGGAAGCUCCCACGGGGUUGGGGCGACGCCGGCGGGAAGGCAGAGCGCAAUGCUGCCAUGAGCAUCCUCUCCAACCCAACAGGAAGAGAGGGAGAUGGAGAUGGAGUGCUCGGCAGCCCCUCCGGCCGGCCGGGAUUGGUCGGUGGCGGCGGCGGCUGCACGCAGGGAGCUGAGCAGGAAGAGGGGUCGAUGGCUAGGGCUCAGCUGAGAUUGCAAGAGGCUAGGGUUA